AAGUCGUAACAAGGUUUCCGUAGGUGAACCUGCGGAAGGAUCAUUAUUGAAUGAACUUGGUGUGAUUGUUGCUGAUCCUUCUGGGAUAUGUGCACAUCUGCCAUCUUUAUCUCUCCACCUGUGCACACUUUGUAGGUCUAGAAUAACUCUCUGAGGCAACUCAGAUGUGAGAACUGCUACUGCGAGGUAGCUUUUCUUGUGUUUCUAGAUCUAUGUUUUCAUAUACACCAUAAGAAUGUGACAGAAUGUAUUAAUGGGUCUUGUACCUAUAAACUAUAUACAACUUUCAGCAACGGAUCUCUUGGCUCUC
rnacentral:misc_RNA from 1 species